rnacentral:rRNA from 1 species
CAAAGGGGGCGACCCCGGUCAUGGAUGGGCAUGCGGCGCAUUAGGUAGUUGGUGGGGCAACGGCCCACCAAGCCGACGAUGCGUAGGGGUUCUGAGAGGAAGGUCCCCCACAUUGGAACUGAGACACGGUCCAGACUCCUACGGGAGGCAGCAGUGAGGAAUAUUGGUCAAUGGCCGGAAGGCUGAACCAGCCAAGUCGCGUGAGGGAAUAAGGCCCUACGGGUCGUAAACCUCUUUUGCCAGGGAGCAAUGCCGUCCACGUGUGGACGGAAGGAGAGUACCUGGAGAAAAAGCAUCGGCUAACUCCGUGCCAGCAGCCGCGGUAAUACGGAGGAUGCGAGCGUUAUCCGGAUUUAUUGGGUUUAAAGGGUGCGUAGGCGGCCUGCCAAGUCAGCGGUAAAAUUGCGGGGCUCAACCCCGUACAGCCGUUGAAACUGCCGGGCUCGAGUGGGCGAGAAGUAUGCGGAAUGCGUGGUGUAGCGGUGAAAUGCAUAGAUAUCACGCAGAACCCCGAUUGCGAAGGCAGCAUACCGGCGCCCGACUGACGCUGAGGCACGAAAGUGCGGGGAUCAAACAGGAUUAGAUACCCUGGUAGUCCGCACAGUAAACGAUGAAUGCUAGCUGUCCGGGGGGAUUGACCCCUGG